rnacentral:rRNA from 1 species
CCCCUUGUGUCUUACCAAGGACUGAGUUCCCACUUGUGGCGAAAAAAAAAGUAUACCAUCCCACCCGGCCUAACCCGGGGGGUUAAGGUUCCUCUCGGAGACUGCCAGUCUACAAGAAGUUGGCAGAGCUUUAGCCAUUGGACCACAUCCAUCCAUCCUCCUACCUAA